rnacentral:rRNA from 1 species
UACGUAGGGUGCAAGCGUUGUCCGGAUUUAUUGGGCGUAAAGAGCUCGUAGGCGGUCUGUCGCGUCGGAUGUGAAAACCCAGGGCUCAACCUUGGGCCUGCAUUCGAUACGGGCAGACUAGAGUAUGGCAGGGGAGACUGGAAUUCCUGGUGUAGCGGUGAAAUGCGCAGAUAUCAGGAGGAACACCGGUGGCGAAGGCGGGUCUCUGGGCCGAUACUGACGCUGAGGAGCGAAAGCGUGGGGAGCAAACAGG